ACUCCCUCCUCUCCCAGUGAGGAGAUGAUAGGUAGCUCUCCUACUUCCACACCAAAUAGGACUCUCAGGUCCUACAUCCACCGUGGGUCCAGAGCAGAGCCCUGUGUGUGGGUCAUGGAAGUGUUGGGUCUGUGCCAUGAGCAUUCAAUUGCCAGGUAAACCAGUGAGGACUCUCACCUGGAAAAGUGGACAGGUGGCUUCAGGUCAUAGCACACGUGGUAACUUGGACCAACUCUCCCCUGAAACCAGUUAGAUAAUCAUGAUGAAAUAAUAAUAAUGAGAAAGAAUAUUUCUAAAAGUUUCUAAGAGUCAACAAGAUGUGAAUAACUUUUACCCUGGCAAAUGGACUGAUUAUCAUGGUGUCAUAUAGCUAUGGGUAGAGUUCCCGUGUGAUCCUGACCAAUCAGCACCCUCAGAAAUGACUGAUCUGGGUGCAGGGCCCGGGGACAUCCAUCUUCUCUGUGAACACUCUACGAGGUUCCCCUUCCUCAUCCUGGCACGGCUUCUCCUGCUCCAGGUUUCCUGUCUCCUCAGCCUUCUCUCUCGGGCACUCAGUCUGAGCAGAAGGGACAUCACAGCUACAGAUAUGCACCUCUUCUUCACUCUGGGAAUGUGAACUUGUUCCCCCACUUCUCAGAUUGGCUGAGGGAUUUUUUUGAAAAUGAAUGUCUCAUUUCUUGAUAACUUUGGUUUCAUUGAAAAUACUAGUUUGUUUCUAGUUGAAACUGGGUAAAAACAAUUGAAGCAAGUGAAAAUCUUUAUUUCGUUAGCAGAAGCAAAGCGUAUGUUUUCACUGUAGGUUAUCCAGAUAGAACUUUUCAUACACACUCAGGGACUGACAAAUACCCAAUCAGGCAUUUGAGGCUUUGAUAUUUACUUGGAAAAAACCGUGUUCAAGGUCAAUGAUAGGCAAAGAGUUGCAACCAUAUAUGAAAUUCUGUAUAUAAAUUCUAUAUAUAAAAUUCUACUACUCCCCUUUAGUUCUUAAUAUAAAAUUCCCAGAAAAGUAGAAAGACAUGAUGAUCCAAUACAAUGUCCCCCAGGAACCUAGCAUGACAGUGGAGCCGAGGUAAUGAGCACUUGCCCCGUUAUCAUGUAGGCGACCACAUCCUUCCCAAUGUGGAAGAGCCUCCUUCAGCCCUCUGCCCUGGCUAGGCCUCAGCCUCAGCUUGCAGCACUUCCUAUGUUCCUCAGAUGAUGCCUCUGUGAUCACAGGAAACCAGAAAGGGAGUCUGAUGACUAUCAAUUGCACCCCACAAAUGCCAGCAACUAUACCCCCAAGUUUCUGAUUUGACAUCAUUUCCUAUUGACUUAGGUUCCUAUUUAGAGACUACGUUUGUUGAAACUACACGAUUAUUUCAGAGAGAAGGCAACGUCCAUUAUUUCAUUUUUUAGAGAAUUCUAGUCAUAGUGAAAUGCUCAGGGUGAAGAUGCUGGCAAGGAGCAAAAUGGAAUUAAUAUCCAUUCAGUUCCCAUUGACUGCCAGAAAAUGGGAUAGAUGUCCUACAUGUUCAGAAUCUCAGGUGAUUAUCGUAAGACCCUGGUCAAAAGGCCACCCUGGCAAACUAAGAACACACAAUUUUAUUACAGCUGCUGGAUAUGAAGACUCAGCAUAUGAUAUCGGUGAUGUUAACACCCUCCCAGGGAGAAGUGCUGUUCCUUCUGGCUGGGAAGUGCGAGCCGGUGGGGAGAGUGAGAGGGGUAGAGCAUUACAUGGAGGAACUUCCUGGUUCCCUUGCCUCUGAGGGCCUUAUGGCAGAGGGGAUAGAAAGCCCGAGAGAAAUCCAAGAUAGGCAUAAGGAGAGUCUGUGAGUGUCUGGCUCCUGUCAAGCUUCCCUAAUAUGGCCCUGGUAGAACUUCAUCAAAAGUGGAAGGCAUUUGCACAGGUGAGCCCAAAGCAGCACCACUUUCCACACAGGCUGUGCAUGUAGGAGUCCCAGAUGCUUCUCAGGUUCUCUGAGAGGAUACAAAGGUACUGAGGGGGCUGGUGAGCACAGCACCUGGGAUUUUGAUGAGAAACUGCAGGAAGGGAACUUUACAUCCCAAGGGCAUGGUGUGGAGUCAAUAGUGGUAAGUUCAGUCUGGUUAUUACACCAGCCAGUUCAGAGGAAGAGUGAAAUCCCUGAGAUCAGCAGGGCAAAGUGCUGGAAGUUGUUGAGGAUGCAGAGGGUAGCAGGAAGACAACUCUAAGAACUCAUUCACACACCCUGCCCCUGGGUAGCGAUGUCAUCCUGGGGAUGAGAAGGAGGAAGAGAGAGAAACACAGAAAAGCCUAAGCAGGCACCACAAAGAGACCGAGCCCAUCUGAAAGAGGCUGCUCUAACCUGGUGGAAACUGUUUUAAGUUGGUAAGUUUAGUGCCUCCCCGCAAUAUCAGAACGAGCAAGAAAUGACAGGUAUAGGUUGCGUACAUUUCCCCUCUGCAUUGAAUGAUAGAGUGUGCAUGUUCCAUCACUGUCCCCUGCUCAAAGUUAGCUGGGUGGCUAUGCCCUGCUGAAAGUCACUUGGGUGAGGGGCGCCAGUGGGAACCAAAAUCCCAUCUCACACCCACCCCCUGCACACUCUGGAGCUGGGCUGCGACAUGCUGGAGAAAGGUGUCUUUGUCUAAUUAUUCUGCCUAAGGGCAUGCCUUUUGUUCAUUAGUAAAAAGAAGCCUUAUUUGUGCUCUGGGGAGUGGGGGUCUGUUUAGGAGGUAAUUUGUGAUAAAGCCACACAGAUAAGAUACAAGGCUUUAAAUAAACUGAAUCUAUUAAGCUUCCUAAUCCCAUGGAAAGACAAAAUUAGUUUACACAAAAAUAAUCAUUAAAGAACUAAUGAAAAUAAUGUUUGAAUUCAGCCACCAGACAUUACAUUCCAGAGCCUUGAGAAAAACUGAUGGUCAUGAAAAAAGUCAUUCGCAUAAGUGACACCAUGGUGUGAAGUCAAGGAGUGCAGACUGGAGUCAGAGGGCUUGAGUCAACCUGAGCGUCUUCAGCUUUGUCUUCUGUGUGUCAGGCUCCAGUGACUGUUGUGAGGAUUUGUUGAGAUAAUAAAUACAAAAUGCUGAGCAUCAAGCCUGGAGUAGAGAAUGGACUCACCUGGCUAAUGUUAUCCAGAUGUAUCUGAAACCUCAGCAGUGGCAAGGAACGGUAGUCCCUGCUUGAACCAUUUACCUGCUUUCCUGACACCAGCGAUCACACACACCUGACACUGACCUGAAGCCUCUGACCUGUCCUCGGAGGCAAAGACUGGGUAGACAAGAUGCCUGGUCACCAGCAAUCAUCUGCAAUUUCCUCUGAGCUAAUGAGAUUGCUUUUCUCUUUGCUCAAAUUAUGUGAGAAUAUUUUUACAAAGAAUUUAAUGUGCUCUUUCGAUAUUUCAGGUGUUCAGUCAAAAGCCUAUGUUAUUCUCCAUCUCUCUCUCUCUCUCUUUUCCUAGUUGGGUAAUCAAAAUGGCACAACCAGAAAUAUUUAUAUCUGCAACAGAAAAGAAGAAUAAAUGUAUUCAUGCACAAGUACUUCAUAUAUAUAUAUGUUUGUGUAUACAUAUAUGUAUAUAAUUGAUAUAUUUGGGAGAAAUAAAAGGUUUCAUUAAGCACACAGGUUCUAGAGUUAGACCCUCUGUUGCAAAUUACUGUCCUGUCACUUAACUCCUGACAGAACAAAGUGUAUACUUGGACAAAAUGCCUGCUCUGUAAAAAUGCCUUGGUCUGGAAUAAAAUGCCUGCUAUGUCAAAGCUUCUAUUUUCCCAUCUGGAGAAUGGGAACAAUAAUAAGAACCCCCACUUAAUAGAUAAUGGACAAAGGUACUUGCAGCACAGAGCCUGCCACAGACAAUGUCCUCAAUUAAUGCAAACUAUUAAUAUUAUGAAAAGUGAAUAUCUGUUUUCUGACAAUGUUUUCAGUAAUAUAAAUUAUGCCUUUGUUCCCUUUAUUUGUUUGAAAAAACCAAUAAAAAAACAAACAAAAA